rnacentral:rRNA from 1 species
AGAGUUUGAUCAUGGCUCAGAGCGAACGCUGGCGGCGUGCUUAACACAUGCAAGUCGAGUGCGCAGUCUGCUGUAGCAAUACAGCAGGCCGGCGCACGGCGCACGGGUGCGUAACACGUGGGUAACCUGCCCUCCAAAGGGGGAUAACCCGCCGAAAGGCGGGCUAAUACCGCAUGACAUUCCGGUGGCUUCGGCCGCCGGAAUCAAAGCCCGCAAGGGCGUUGGAGGAGGGGCCCGCGGCCGAUUAGCUUGUUGGCGAGGUAACGGCUCACCAAGGCUUUGAUCGGUAGCCGGUCUGAGAGGAUGGCCGGCCACACUGGAACUGAGACACGGUCCAGACUCCUACGGGAGGCAGCAGUGGGGAAUCUUGCGCAAUGGGCGAAAGCCUGACGCAGCGACGCCGCGUGGGGGAUGAAGCUUCUCGGAGUGUAAACCCCUUUCGACCGGGACGAAACGCCCGCAAGGGCUUGACGGUACCGGUAUAAGAAGCCCCGGCUAACUACGUGCCAGCAGCCGCGGUAAGACGUAGGGGGCCAGCGUUGCUCGGAAUUACUGGGCGUAAAGGGUUCGUAGGCGGUGCGGUAAGUCGGAAGUGAAAUCUCUGGGCUUAACUCAGAGGCUGCUUUCGAAACUGCUGUGCUAGAGUGCGGGAGAGGCGAGUGGAAUUGCAGGUGUAGCGGUGAAAUGCGUAGAUAUCUGCAGGAACACCCGUGGCGAAGGCGGCUCGCUGGACCGCAACUGACGCUGAGGAACGAAAGCUAGGGGAGCAAACAGGAUUAGAUACCCUGGUAGUCCUAGCCCUAAACCAUCAGGACUUGGGGUGGCCCGCGUUGGCGGGUCGUCCCGGAGCUAACGCGUUAAGUCCUGCGCCUGGGGAGUACGGUCGCAAGGCUGAACUCAAGGAAUUGACGGGGGCCCGCACAAGCGGUGGAACAUGUGGUUCAAUUCGACGCAACGCGAAGAACCCUUACCUGGGCUCGAAGU